rnacentral:rRNA from 1 species
AGCGAACGCUGGCGGCAGGCUUAACACAUGCAAGUCGAGCGGGCCCUUCGGGGUCAGCGGCAGACGGGUGAGUAACACGUGGGAACGUGCCCUUCGGUUCGGAAUGACUCAGGGAAACUUGAGCUAAUACCGGAUACGCCCUUUUGGGGAAAGGUUUACCGCCGAAGGAUCGGCCCGCGUCUGAUUAGCUAGUUGGUGGGGUAACGGCCUACCAAGGCGACGAUCAGUAGCUGGUCUGAGAGGAUGAUCAGCCACACUGGGACUGAGACACGGCCCAGACUCCUACGGGAGGCAGCAGUGGGGAAUAUUGGACAAUGGGCGCAAGCUUGAUCCAGCCAUGCCGCGUGAGUGAUGAAGGCCUUAGGGUUGUAAAGCUCUUUUGUCCGGGACGAUAAUGACGGUACCGGAAGAAUAAGCCCCGGCUAACUUCGUGCCAGCCGCCGCCGUAAUAC